rnacentral:rRNA from 1 species
GCAGUUUCGAAUCAUUCACAAUGGGGGCAACCCUGAUGGUGCAACGCCGCGUGAGGGAUGAAGGCCUUCGGGUCGUAAACCUCUGUCACCGAGGAGCAACAAGCAGGUUGAUAGCCUGCCCUGAGUUAACUCGGAGAGGAAGCAGUGGCUAACUCCGUGCCAGCAGCCGCGGUAAUACGGAGACUGCGAGCGUUACUCGGAUUCACUGGGCGUAAAGGGUGCGCAGGCGGAUGGAUGUGUCAGGUGUGAAAUCUCGGGGCUCAACCUCGAAACUGCGCCUGAAACUGUCCAUCUAGAGUAUUGGAGAGGUAAGCGGAAUUUCCGGAGUAGCGGUGAAAUGCGUAGAUAUCGGAAGGAACACCAAUGGCGAAGGCAGCUUACUGGACAAUUACUGACGCUCAGGCACGAAAGCAUGGGUAGCGAAAGGGAUUAGAUACCCCUGUAGUCCAUGCCGUAAACGUUGUACACUAGGUCUUGGAGGUUUCGACCCCUUCAGGACCCCAGCUAACGUGAUAAGUGUACCGCCUGAGGACUACGGCCGCAAGGCUAAAACUCAAAGGAAUUGACGGGG